UACGGGGGGGGCAAGCGUUGUUCGGAAUUACUGGGCGUAAAGGGCGCGUAGGUGGCGCCGUAAGUCAGGUGUGAAAUUUCGGAGCUUAACUCCGAAACUGCAUUUGAUACUGCGGUGCUUGAGGACUGGAGAGGAGACUGGAAUUUACGGUGUAGCAGUGAAAUGCGUAGAGAUCGUAAGGAAGACCAGUGGCGAAGGCGGGUCUCUGGACAGUUCCUGACACUGAGGCACGAAGGCCAGGGGAGCAAACGGG
rnacentral:rRNA from 1 species